CUGGGCUGUUGACAAUCUGCUAGGCAGAAACUUACUAGCUCCCGGUCAAGUGGGAAAUGCGGGUAGUUUCUAGUUUCCAGACAUAGUAAUAGGAAACCACAUGGCGGAAAGUCCUCCCUUAGCCCUGAGUUGCAGGCUAGUUAGCAGGCAAUACUUAAAGGACGAAACGACCGCUUGCAUUUCCUAGUGGAGACGUUAGUUUAAAAAUGAAAGGAGGUGGAGGAGGAAAUUGCACCUAAUCUCCCCAAAGAGUUUGUUUGACAGGACGGUAGAUGGGACGGUAAUAUACAUUCAAUAAAAGAGCCGCUUCCCAUAAACUUCCAUUCUUCUCCGUUUAAAGCAAGGGCGGGGGGUAGGAAUCGGAUAUCGCUGGGCUGCUCCCAAGCCCCUAGUGUUAAAUCGAGACCGACUCGGCCAACCUCUCGGCUAAUCUCCCAUACGCUAAUAGAGAGAAUGUCUUUGAAUGAAUGAGUCCGACUAUGCCCUUAAGGCAAUCGGCGUUGCCUACCUCUGAGAGGAGAACUAGUAAGGAGUCAGGCACAUUACGUCAGACUGAGCUUUUUCUAAAGAGAAAAGUGUGGAAAUAAAGCUUGAGGCUUUGGUUCCUGAUGAGCGAUCCUGGGUUAGAAAGGAUGGAGGAGUGUGCUUGAGAAAGACAGCCCACCCCUGUCCUUCCCUUUCCCGCGGAUUGUGUCGAACUGCCUUGUGUUUUAGUUGGACGGGAUGCAGUCUGUUGUUCAGAAAGGGGAUGAGAAACCCACACAUUACCAGCAAGGCAGAGUUUCAGAGUAAUCCUUAGGGACCUGAUUGUUAAUGAGGUGGCAUUUACCCCUGACGAGAAUAGCCAGAAUGUUCCAGAAUAAAUCAGAGAAGUGUUGGAAGUGUCAUCAGACUCCAGGAUCCUAUUACCACAUGUGGUGGACAUGCGUAGAAGCAAGGAGAUAUUGGACUAAGAUACACACGUGGUUGGAAAAAAUGACUAAGAGACAUAUUGAUUUUAAACCAGAGAUAUUUUUAUUAGGGAUCUUACCAGAGACACAUAAUAAAGAAUUGCAAUAUUUAAUUGUGAACCUUUUAACAGCAGCUAGAAUUGUAUUUGCAAAAAAUUGGAAUGGAGAAAGGACACCUACUGAUGAAGAAAUUAUUAAGAAAAUGAUGGACUGUGCUGAAAUGAGUAAAUUGACAUUUGAAAUAAGAGAGCAGGAAGAUAACAAUAUUAUUUGAUAUGGGAUUUAUUUUAUCAAUGGAUGGACAAUAAGACAUGGAGAUAAAUAUAUAAUAUGUGGAUGUUGAGAUAAAUUAAGUAGAAUAUUUCUUAUGAAAAUAAGCUUUGGAUGUAUAGUGAUAUUUUGAAGAGAAGAGGGAGCACAAAAGGAUGUUAACCGAUCGAUACACUGUCUGUAAUUAUUUGGGAAUGAUGUUGUUUUUGUGUUUUAUUUUUGUUUUAAAAUAAAAUCUUUGUGAA